UACAGAGGGGGCAAGCGUUAUCCGGAAUUAUUGGGCGUAAAGCGCUCGUAGGCGGUUUGACGCGUCUGCCGUGAAAGUCCGGGGCUCAACUCCGGAUCUGCGGUGGGUACGGGCAGACUAGAGUGAUGUAGGGGAGACUGGAAUUCCUGGUGUAGCGGUGAAAUGCGCAGAUAUCAGGAGGAACACCGAUGGCGAAGGCAGGUCGCUGGGCAUUAACUGACGCUGAGGAGCGAAAGCAUGGGGAGCGAACAGG
rnacentral:rRNA from 1 species